rnacentral:rRNA from 1 species
UACGUAGGGUGCAAGCGUUAAUCGGAAUUACUGGGCGUAAAGCGUGCGCAGGCGGUUUUGUAAGCCAGAUGUGAAAUCCCCGGGCUCAACCUGGGAAUUGCAUCUGUGACUGCAUCGCUAGAGUACGGUAGAGGGGGAUGGAAUUCCGCGUGUAGCAGUGAAAUGCGUAGAGAUGCGGAGGAACACCGAUGGCGAAGGCAGCCCCCUGGGCCAACACUGACGCUCAGGCACGAAAGCGUGGGGAGCAAACAGG